AUGCCAUACCUGAGGGCUUGACCUGCCUCAUUGGUCUUCCUGGAAAUAGGCGCACUUAGUCCUCCUGCUUGGAUCCUGAAAAAGGCAAACCCAGAACUGGAGCAGAGUCUAUACAGAAAAUGGCAGGGACAUAAUUACCACAAAGGGCACUGAAACAAUAAAUGUAGAAGAAACCAAGUAGGAAGAGGACUG
rnacentral:lncRNA from 1 species